GACGACCUUUUGCGGCGUGCUUAACACAUGCAAGUCGAACGAGAAUCUGUGGAUCGAGGAUUCGUCCAAGUGAAGCAGAGGACAGUGGCGGACGGGUGAGUAACGCGUGAGGAACCUGCCUUUCAGAGGGGGACAACAGUUGGAAACGACUGCUAAUACCGCAUGAUACGUAUUGGGGGCAUCCCUGAGACGUCAAAGAUUUAUCGCUGAAAGAUGGCCUCGCGUCUGGUUAGCUGGUUGGUGAGGUAACGGCCCACCAAGGCGACGAUUAGUAGCCGGACUGAGAGGUUGACCGGCCACAUUGGGACUGAGAUACGGCCCAGACUCCUACGGGAGGCAGCAGUGGGGAAUAUUGGGCAAUGGGCGCAAGCCUGACCCAGCAACGCCGCGUGAAGGAAGAAGGCUUUCGGGUUGUAAACUUCUUUUAAGAGGGAAGAGCAGAAGACUGUACCUCUAGAAUAAGCCACGGCUAACUACGUGCCAGCAGCCGCGGUAAUACGUAGGUGGCAAGCGUUGUCCGGAUUUACUGGGUGUAAAGGGCGUGCAGCCGGGAAUGCAAGUCAGAUGUGAAAUCCAUGGGCUUAACCCAUGAACUGCAUUUGAAACUGUAUUUCUUGAGUACUGGAGAGGCAAUCGGAAUUCCUAGUGUAGCGGUGAAAUGCGUAGAUAUUAGGAGGAACACCAGUGGCGAAGGCGGAUUGCUGGACAGCAACUGACGGUGAGGCGCGAAAGUGUGGGGAGCAAACAGGAUUAGAUACCCUGGUAGUCCACACUGUAAA
rnacentral:rRNA from 1 species